AUUGAACGCUGGCGGCAUGCCUUACACAUGCAAGUCGAACGGCAGCACGGGGCAACCUGGUGGCGAGUGGCGAACGGGUGAGUAAUACAUCGGAACGUGCCCAAUCGUGGGGGAUAACGUAGCGAAAGUUACGCGAAUACCGCAUACGAUCUACGGAUGAAAGCGGGGGAUCGCAAGACCUCGCGCGAGUGGAGCGGCCGAUGUCAGAUUAGGUAGUUGGUGGGGUAAAGGCACACCAAGCCAACGAUCUGUAGCUGGUCUGAGAGGACGACCAGCCACACUGGGACUGAGACACGGCCCAGACUCCUACGGGAGGCAGCAGUGGGGAAUUUUGGACAAUGGGCGCAAGCCUGAUCCAGCCAUUCCGCGUGCAGGAUGAAGGCCUUCGGGUUGUAAACUGCUUCUGUACGGAACGAAACGGUUCUCUCUAAUACAGGGGGCUAAUGACGGUACCGUAAGAAUAAGCACCGGCUAACUACGUGCCAGCAGCCGCAGUAAAAC
rnacentral:rRNA from 1 species